rnacentral:rRNA from 1 species
UAGGGAAUCUUCGGCAAUGGACGAAAGUCUGACCGAGCAACGCCGCGUGAGUGAAGAAGGUUUUCGGAUCGUAAAACUCUGUUGUUAGAGAAGAACAAGGACGUUAGUAACUGAACGUCCCCUGACGGUAUCUAACCAGAAAGCCACGGCUAACUACGUGCCAGCAGCCGCGGUAAUACGUAGGUGGCAAGCGUUGUCCGGAUUUAUUGGGCGUAAAGCGAGCGCAGGCGGUUUCUUAAGUCUGAUGUGAAAGCCCCCGGCUCAACCGGGGAGGGUCAUUGGAAACUGGAGACUUGAGUGCAGAAGAGGAGAGUGGAAUUCCAUGUGUAGCGGUGAAAUGCGUAGAUAUAUGGAGGAACACCAGUGGCGAAGGCGGCUCUCUGGUCUGUAACUGACGCUGAGGCUCGAAAGCGUGGGGAGCAAACAGG